UACGGAGGGUGCAAACGUUGCUCGGAAUCAUUGGGCGUAAAGCGCACGUAGGCGGUCCGGAAAGUCGGGUGUGAAAGCCCUCGGCUCAACCGAGGAAGUGCAUUCGAAACUACCGGGCUUGAAUACUGAAGAGGAUCGCGGAAUUCCCGGUGUAGAGGUGAAAUUCGUAGAUAUCGGGAGGAACACCAGUGGCGAAGGCGGCGAUCUGGGCAGAUAUUGACGCUGAGGUGCGAAAGCGUGGGGAGCAAAC
rnacentral:rRNA from 1 species